GCCCCUAUCGUCUAGAGGCCUAGGACACCGGGUUCUCAGUCCGGUAACCGGGGUUCGAAUCCCCGUAGGGGUA
rnacentral:tRNA from 1 species